rnacentral:lncRNA from 1 species
AGUAUAGACCUCCAGGUUCUGUCUGAAGACUGUGAAUAUCUUUGGCGUUUCUGCACCAACAAACCUUACAUUAUGGAAAGAUGAUAAAACAGAGCAUGGAGUUCAACCAAGCAAUGAUUUCAGGAAGAAAUGUAGUUAAUAUUUUUCCCAGCAGAUGUGGCUGUUGGACCAGAAAAGGCUCAAGGCCUUUUUACCUCCUGUCUGUGAAGCCAAGAUUGCCACAUGCAAGUUAUGUGAAAUGACCUUCAUACCAUCUCCUGCUAUCACAGGCUCCGUGUCAGCCACUCAUUUAGGAACUGUUGCAGGCUUUCAGCACUGUUAUUGGGGCAGUUUCUGGAUGGUACUCUCAGGAUCAGUUUGUUGUGGAAUAUUGAAAGCAGGAAAAAGAUCCUCUUCAUUCUCAUGGUGGCAAAUGAUCUGAUGAAAUGUAAAAUUGGAGCAUUUAUUACAUGUGAGAUAUAAAUUUAUUCCUCUUCACUUUUUCCAUAGCAGU